rnacentral:lncRNA from 1 species
GAUCAAUCCUAAUAUAGAGCGACGAAUUCCAAAGGCAUUGCAUCUGUAUUACUGGUUUUGCAUGUGUUAUAUCCAAAAAUAUUAUUGCUAAAUUAAAAGUACCACGUAAAUAUCACGUGAUACUCCAAAGCGUUUUAUCAUCUGAAUAAGCUGAGGAAAUACAUUAAUUUGUAGUAUUGACAAUAAUAAAUAGCCCUAGUCACCAGGUUAGACUCAAGUCAAUGUUAAUUUUUAAUAAAAAAAUAUUGGUAAACAAGUGAAACAAUCAUCCAUAAUUAUUAAUUUUAUGAUUUUUCAAAUGAAUUAAAUAUUUUAAUAGCUAACUCAUUCAAUCAAAAAAAAAGAAGAAAGAGUAUAACUAAUCCACAAGUGUUUCGCAAGCCACGAUAUAUUCUUUUACAAUGCAUGUUCCCCUGUAGUGGAAUAAGUAUUUUGUGAAUUUCACAAUAUGACACUACAUAAAAUGCAUAAUUUAUAGUUUUUUUUAUUUUUUAAAAAAAGUAUGAACGAAUCAAAUAACUAUUCCAAACGGGUACGAAUUUGCUGAAGUUUGCCAAUCAACAACAUCCAUGAAUUUGAUUCUACAUUUCUACACCAACCGUUGGAUUAUUAAAGGAAAGCCACGCCACCUCACAAUUUAAUUGUAAACGACGUUCCACUUUCAAACCAUAGAUACCUAUUUCAAAAUAAAUAAAUAAAUCACAAUAUGGGUGAUUUACAAAUUAACCCCUUCCCUUAAACUUUAAAAAAAAAAAAAUCACAAGUCACCACCUUAAAUUAUUAUUUUUUAUCACUUACACCACUCUGUUAGUUGUCAGACUCAAAUAGGAUAUCUGAAAAUAUCACUCCAAAUUUCAUUCAAAUCUAUUUGACCAAAAUAACACACAUGUAUAAAUCCACCUCUUAAGCUCUCGCACUAGUCUGACUAUCAUAACUUUGUAGUAUAAGGUUCGUGUUAUCUGGUGGGAGAAGAAGAAGAAGAGGGGUGCAGUGGUGGAGUGAGUUUAUUAAUUGGUGGGCAGAUGUAAAGGUGGAAAGAGGUUAAUGUUGGGGGAAGGGACUGAUGGCCGAGAAGGUCAGAUGCAUAGAAGGUUAGUUAGUAGAGAGACAUACAAAUAAAAAAAUGUGACAGGGGAGGGGCAAAUUCGGAAUGAUAACUGCGUUGAAAACUUAGGUGAGGGGCAAACGGCCGACGAUAAUCCCAAGGGAUGACAAGGGACAAAAUAUAACUUUCACGGCAGAGUGCUUUUUGACAGCUGACAGUUGAUGAUAAGCUACCAACCACGCCGUAGAGGCAUGGCCGGGUCAACCACCCACUCACUGACACAGCAAGUGUCGAGCCACGCGUUGAGUUCAGGUAUAAAGGAGAACACUGUUGUUCUCACGGAGGUAUAUGCAAAAUUUAUUCUAGAAAGAUACACAAAUUUUCUCUCUCUAAGAUUCCGAAAGUCUGACUUGACCGUCGGAGAGUCGUUUCCCGAAAAUAGUUCCGGCGGCCGUCCUCACUGUACUUGUUCUCGCAGGCAAGGCAUUGUAGGCCAGACGCACAGGAGGUCAGAGCUACCCACACAGCCAUAGGACCGUCACGGGUGUCUAUCCUUGAUUUUCUCUCCUCCUUUCAUACAUUAACAAACUCACAGAUUUGGUGUUCCUUUAUGAGUGUGUUUAAAUUAAGAUUUGAAUUGGGUGCAUUACAUGUCAACUUCCAUCCAAAUAGUUAACGAAAGUUAGGGGUUGGAGCAAGGAAAACUUAAAAAUUAACUUUAAGGACAAAAGUGAAAAAAUGACAAACCUAAGGGGAUAAAGUGUAAUUCAUCCUUGAUUUGCAGAUAAGGGAGAUUACUGAUGUUAUAUUGGAGUGGGUGCCGUUUCAAGUGGGAUGACUCUGCGAUUGGCGUGAAAUUGAGUUUUCUUUUGGAAUGUAAUAUGGUUUACAUGGAAUCAAAUUCCUGGUGAAGUUAGACUAUCCAACUUCAGAAAAUUCAAAUUCAUUUCAAACAGGGUAAGAUCCUCUGAACUAUUGAAUCUAACCGUGUCACAACUGUUUAUAUUGUAAAUUCGUUGAGAAGAUAAAUAUUAUAAAAAGUUAGUCGAUCAAUAAUAAUUUAUAUCAAAAUAAAUGAGUAUAAUUAUGUGUGUUAUAAUUAUUUAUUAAGUUAUAAAACAGUAUUUAACAUAUAUUGAUUUGUUUUCGAUCAACAUAUUUUUUUACAGUAUUAAUCUUUUCAAUAAAAUUUACAAUAUGAACAAUUUAGAUCAUCAAAAUGAAUUCAAAAUGGUAUCCAAAAUACUUAAAUUGUACUAUGACUCAAUUUAGAAUUUUUCGAAUAACUGCUUUAUAUUAUAGAAUUUUUAUUAUUCGUGUCAGUUUAUUUCAUUGUAUUGUUGCACAAUAUGAUUCAUUUUAAUUAUACAUUUAUAAUUUUAAUUGAUAAUUACAUACCGUCAAAUUCUCAUUUUGCAAAAUAUUAAAUGAUAUUGAUUUCACAUUUCAAAUUUGUAUAAAAAUAAGUCAUCGUUUUACUUUACUUUAUUCAUGCAAAAUUAAAACCAACCUUAGCAUUUAGCAUUUAAAAAUAUUAAAUAUAAGGGUAGUUUUGUAAAUUUAUAUGAAUAAAAACAAUAUCGAGUGUUUUAUAAUCAUUCCUCUUUAUUACUUGGACCUAUGGAAUAAGAACAUUAAAACAUGUUUGGCUGCGGGAUAGCAUCAGGGAAUAAAUUUUAAAGGGGAUAACUUUUAACUUUGUUUAGAUACUUUUUAGAAUGAGUGGAUAAGGGUGGGGAUAAGGAAGAAAAUAUAUAUAGAGAAACAAAAUAUAAAAUAUUUAGAUAUUAAAUAAAUAAAUAUAUAUAUAUAUAUUAAUACAUAAUAUAGAUAUAGAUAUAGAUAUUUAUAUAUGUAUAUAUAUAUUUUUAAUAUCUAGAUAUUUCAUAUUUCUUUUCUUUAUAUAUAUUUCUUUCUUAUCCUUCACCAUUAUCCUCCCGAAUAACUUUUAACUAGAGUGUGAAACACCCAUAAAUUAUUUGUCUCUAUCCUUUCGUUGGGUGAAAAGUUAUCCGGACGAAUUUUCACCAUUCAAACACCGGAUAAAAAAAAUUAUUAGACCCCUUAUCCUCCAACCAAACGGGCCCUUAAGAUUUAUUGAAGUACGUUUAGUCUUCUACUUUUAAGGUUGGUUAUGUCAAGUGAAACUAGUUAUUAGGUUUUUCCACGGAGUGCCCAUCGUUUGGACAGGGGCUGACAAGUCACAGAUCGAUGCGAUGUUCCGUUUGACCUAGUUAAUUUUUUUUUUUUUUUUACUUUUGAAUUAAAAUAUAAAAAUUAAAAUAACAAAUUAUUUUUCUUAUUUGAAAUGGUUAAAAAAUCAUCUAGUUUUUCAGCACAAUAAUUUUACGAAAGAAAAAGUAUAUAUAAAAAACACAAAAUUCAACCUCUUAAUCUAGUAAUAAUAGUUAUGAAGAUAUUCAAAUUAUACAAAUUUUCUUCUCCAAGUUUUUUUUUUUAUUUAGAAAAUGUGAUACUUGUUUUUGUAAAAUAAUUUUAAAAUUAUAUCUCUAUUUUCAUAAUUUCAAAAUUAAAAUUUUAUAUUGAAAUCAAGGUGUCGUUUUCUAAUGAAAGCUACGUUUUGAUUUUUCACUCUAUUUUUUGUAAAAGUUUAUUAAACCGCUCGACUUGUGGGUAACGACACCCAAAUUGGACGUCUGAGAUAUCACACGUGCUUACAAAAACACCCAUUACAAAAGCCAACAAGAAGAGAGAAAGUGAUAUUGAGGUAUCUUGCCUGCAGUUGAGGCAAAGGAAGCUGUAGAAGACCGUUAUUUUAAAUUUUUGAAGGAAAAAAAAACUUUUUAUUCUAGUAAUAAUAGUUAUAAAGAUAUUCAAAUUAUACAAAUUUUCUUAUCCAAGUUUAUUUUUUGGUAGAAAAUGUGAUACUAGUUUUUCUAAAAUAAUUUUAAAGUUUGAUCUUUAUUUUCGCAAUUUCAAAAUUAAAAUUAUGCAUCCGUUCCACACGCAAACAGAAAGUCAAGGGGUCAUUUACUCAUGAAAGCUACGCUUCGAUAUCCCACUCUAUUGUUUGGAACAAUUUAUUACAUCGCUCGACUUGUGGGUAGCGUCACCGAAAUUGGACGUCUGAAAAAACAUAUAUAUGCAUGGGCCGGCCUUGAGAUUUGGGGGGCCUCAAUUGAAAUUCAAAUAUGAGACCCUCUAUACCAAUUAGAACUUGCGAUUAUAUAAUUUUUUUUUAUCAUAUAGUGAGAGCAAAUAUAUUUUACAAACUUAAAAUUCACAAAAAAACAAAAAAACUUUUGGAAUUGUUUUGUCACAAAAAAACUUGUCUGGGCCCCUGCUUAAGAUGAAUUAAAUUAUCUAUUCUGUAUUUUUUUUUCUUUCUAAAUCAGAUAAAUAUUUCCUAGGCAUGUGGACAAUCAAAUUCCAAUCAAAUCCUCCCCACUAAUCAAAAUCUGCAAAAUAUCCUACUAAUAGGCUCAAAAACAAUAACACCGAAAGGAUCAAACUAAUUUAAAAACAAAACAAAACAAGUUGUCUACAGUCUACUGUCUACAGAGUAACCAAAAUAGGCAACAGGAUGUCAGAAACAAAACAAAAACAUAUUUAAUUAUCUAUUAAUUCUAUUAUAGUACACAGAGAUACAAAACAAAACAACUAACGUCGUGAGUCUAACAGGAGACCAAAAAAAAAAUAUUUAAAACAAAACAAAGCAUUAAGUUGGAGAAAUUCACCUAGUGUUGCUGCGUUACGUAAGUUCACUUUGAUAGUUCGAUUUCGAGUGCUUCCAGCCUUCCAGCCUUCCUCAGUUAGUUAGUUCCUCAACGACGAAGACGAAGACGAAGCGUCGAAGACGAAGGCGAAGUGGUGAACGGACGAAGUUUCCAGAGGACCAGAGGCUCUGGUCGAGAUCGAGAAAGUGGGCGGGUUAGGUCUCUAAUCGAGAGAUCGAGACUCGAGAUGGGGGGUUUGGCCAUUUGGGCCUUUGUUGAGAGAUUGAGAGAGGGGAGGGGUGGGGGGGUGGGGGGGAUAUGACCUAACCUAAUGGCUGUAUUUGGGGGAAGAAAGAGAGAAUGCAGCGUUUGGCGUUAGGGGUUGGGGGCCUUGGUCCAAAUUGCCAGGCGGCCCAAGUCUAUUGCACCUAAAAGUAGUUUUUUUUUGGGAAUUUGGAGCCCCAAAAUUUGGGCUUUUUCGAUAGGCCUAAAGCCUGGACUGAAUUGGCUUCAGCUCAGGGCCGGCUCUGUACAUGCAUGACCCAAAAUAGCUAGGAUUCGAGCCAUAAUUUGUUUUAGUUUCUCUCUCUCUAACACUAGUUGUUGCACUUCUUCUCUUCUCAUCUCAACGUAAGCUCAUUGAGCUGAUGUGUGCUAAGAAACUACUGGAACUGCCCAUUAUGGUCGCAACUGGGACGUACGGAAUUAGAAGUAGAAGCAUUGCAAAGCUUAUAAAUUUUUUUAGUGAUUUUUUUCCUUCUUUAACAAAUUUUUUUAACUAUUUAAUUAAAAUUUUAUACUUUUUCAAUCACUAUUUAUAAAAGAAUUACUAAAACAAAAACAGUCGCUAUUAUCCAGUUGAAAGGCAUGAAGGUAAAUAUUAUUACACUCCACAAUUUAGGAUUUUUAAACAAACCCAAGUAACGAGACUUGCAUUGAACUUGUUAAAAAGUUAGUUCAAGACUGACUCAUUAAUUUUAAAGAUUAAUCUUAAAUUUUGUUUUUAGAAAAUUAUAACACAAUUCUUUUAAGAUUAUUUAUUUUAUGAAAAAAUCAUAAUAAAUAAUUACUGUCCAAAAAAUUUAUUUUUGAAUAACUACCAACCUAUCAACCCCAAUAUGAAACUUAAAUAGUAAAACUAAUAGUAACAAUUUUUUAAAGAAUAAAAUGAUAAAUUAUUAAUAUAAUAUUUAUAUGAAAAAUAAUUAACUUCUAAAUUAUCGUAUGAACAAGAUUACCACAACACGAGAUAAAAGUUAAAAAUUAUCAACAAAUUUCUAAAAGAAAAAAUGAGAAGUUAUCAAUUAAACAAGAAAAGAUUUCAAAUAUUUACUUAAUACAAAUUGAUAUAAACAUAUCAAUUUUAAUGGACCAAAAAUAUUAAAAACUUAUCAAAUCAAAACUCCACACGAUAUAUAAGAGAAAUUCUUGAUUAUUUAAUUUGUACAAAUUGAGAAAAUAUCACGUAUAAUACAAUUAAUUCACAACUGCUAAGAAUAAUCAACUUCUAAAUUGAUUAGGGGACUUUUGUGAAUACAAGUUUGGACCCGAGUUUUAUAUGUUACUAUAUUUAGGGUGGAGCUAAAAACACUAUUUUUUCCUUAUUAAUCAAUAAAAUUUUAAAAGAAAAAAUGAGAAGUUAUCAAUUAAACAAGAAAAGAUCUCAAAUAUUUACUUAAUGCAAAUUGAUAUAAGCAUAUCAAUUUGCAUUGGAUCAAAAAUAUUAAAAACUUAUCAAAUCAAAACUCCACACGAUAUAUAAGAGAAAUUCUUGAUUAUUUAAUUUGUACAAAUUGAGAAAAUAUCACGUAUAAUACAAUUAAUUCACAACUGCUAAGAAUAAUCAACUUUAAAUUGAUUAGGGACUUUUGUGAAUACAAGUUUGGACCCCGUUUAUAUGUUACUAUCAUUUAGGGUGGAGCUAAAACCACUAUUUUUUCCUUAUACAAUAAAAUUUUAAAAGAAAAAAAUGAGAAGUUAUCCAAUAAACAAGAAAAGAUCUCAAAUAUGUUACUUAAUGCAAAUUGAUAUAAGCAUAUCCAUUUGCAUUGUGGAUCAAAAAUAAUUAAAACUAUCAAAUCAAAACUCAAAACUCCCCACGAGAUAUAAGAGAAAUUCUUGAUUAUUUAAUUUGUGCAAAUUAAAAAAUAUCACAUAUUAAACCAUUAUUUCACACUUGCUAAAAUAAUCAACUUCUAAAUUGAUAGGGAGGGAACUUUUGUGAAUACAUUCUAGACCCGAGUUUAUGUUUAGUAUAUUUAGGGUGGAGCUAAAAACACUAUUUUUUCUUUAUUAAUCAACAAAUUUUUAAAAGAAAAAAAUGAGAAGUUAUCAAUUAAACAAGAAAAUAUCUCAAAUAUUUAAUUAAUACAAAUUAAUAUAAAUAUAUCAAUUUUAAUUGGACCAAAACUAUUAAAACUUAUCAAAUCAAAACUCCACAUCCGAUAUAUAAGAGAAAUUCUUGAUUAUUUAAUUUGUCAAACUGAAAAAAAAAUAUCGCAUAUAAUAUAAUUAAUUCACAACUGCUAAGAUAUCAACUUCUAAUUGAUUAAGGACUUUUGUGAAUACAAGUCUGGACCCGAUUUUUAUAUGUUACUAUAUUUGGGUGAGCUACUUAAAAUACUAUUUUUUUCUUAUUAUAAUUUUUUUCUUUUUUCGUUAAAAUAAAUAAAUAAAUAUUGAUAAUUUGAUAAUUGUUUUCUUAUACAUUAUUUUCAUGUUAAAAAAAGGGAUUAACAGUUAAUGAUAACCCCUUUUGGUUGUUAGAAUUGAUAUUGA